GAAACUACAACUGGCCCAGAACAGAGAGUAAGGCAGAUGUGCCUGAGAAGAUGGUGCUAACACAGGCUGCCAAGAUUCUGUGUUUCAAGUAGGGCAAAUAAUAAGUUCAAGAAAGUGACAAAUCUGGAUCUGAUCCUGUCCAGAGAGGAAAAUGCACAAGCACACAAAGCUCUGGGAGCUGGUGGGACGACCUGGGGUCCUCCUGGAGUACCAGAAAGUAUAGUUGUACUGCAAGGGAUGCUCUGCUGGUCCGGGGACAACAGCCUGGGAAGUAAAUAAGCUCCAGGCACUGGCUGGAAAGGACUCUGACGAACUGGAACACAUCCUUAAGGGUGCUGCAGAGAAGAAUGAACACUGCAAAUAGGUAAGCGCGAUUUGACCCCUCCAGAAGGUUACCGUUUGGAGAUGGGAAAUUUUCCGCAGUCAAAACAACUGGUGGAACAGGAUGUGGUAGAGCACCCCUGCAAUCCCAGCACUUGGGAGGCUGAGGCAGGAUAUCACUGCAAGUUCGAGGCCAGCCUGGACUACAUGUCCGAAGCUGGAACUGGGGAUCAGAGUGGCACUUAAGAGAGUGGAGGACUGGGCCACCGCGCGGUGUUGGAGAAAAGAACCAGAGGGGAGGAGAAAGGAAGCAGGAAGAGGACAAGAAUUCCGUAACGUAGCAGCCAAGGAGCCCAGCGCGUCGGCCACGUUACCUCAUCGCAGCUGCACAACUCUAGGACACCAGCCGUUACCGUGCCCCCUGCAGAGGACGCCCUGAAGGCAGAGCGACUUUCCCAAGCCAGAGCAAGAGCGAAGGGAGGCUGCUGAAUGCCACGCCGCGAAGUGCCCGCCCUCCACGCCACCGCCCCGCACCCUCCGGGGCGGGGCGUCCGAAAUCUCCUCCUUGCGGGUCCGUCGGCCAAGGGCUCGGACACUUCCGGUUGCGUGGGACGCAGCGGAACGUCGACACUCAGGCUCUGCGAGGUGCGGGAUGGUUUUCCAGGGACAACCGGCCGCAGCGCUUGCGCAAAAAACGCGGGACUGGCGACUGCGCGUGCUUUGCCCUCCCUGCUGGGUUGUGUGACUUCGCCUCCAGUGCGCACGCGCGUGCGUGUCCCGCCUCACUACGAACCUGGGAGGCGAGGCUGGCGCUGGCUCUGCUCUACCACUUCUCCCACCUUUCCAGGUCGGCGGCGGGUCCCACUAACCCUGUCAGGCCCAAGAAACAGUAACCCUCAACAAAUGGUAGCUGGUAUUCAUCUUUGAGUUCUUCCUGUGUGCCAGGAGCUGCAGCGCUAAUCCUUUGCCCUCUGAGGCUUUCCAAGAGGUUGAGGAAAUAGCGCCUAGGUAACAAAGCCAGUAAGGGGCCCAUUAGAACCGAAAAUGGCCCCGUUGCCAUCACAUUGCCGCCUGGAUAGAAUCUCGCCAUCCCCACCCUUCCAGGGCACUAUGGUCUCGACUGCUUCAGACAUACAAGCAGGAGAAAAAUGCAAUGCAUCUGCUGCCGAUUGAGCCCCAAAGCCAACAACCCUGUGUUUGGUCACGUCUCCCCUCUCUCCAGCACGUUCCGUUGUCACCGCUUUAGGUGCUUGCGCAGUUUUGAAUCGCAUUUACCUCCACUUUGGCCCCCGAGUGCUCUGUCUUGGACGACACACUCAUCCUGCCCGCAUCUCACACCCUGGUUCCCCCCACACCAUGACCCGCUUACACUGUCAAAGCGACUCUGCUGGAGCCGGGCUCGGGAAAUGAAGUUGCAGGCAUCGACACAGGCCUGGAUGGCCGGGGCAGCCUGCUUCAGACUGCCGCAGAACUCCUGGCUCUGCCCCAACUCCGGGCCUUUCUCUGAUGGAGACAGAAUGGGAGGUUUGGGAGUAAAACAGAGGAGAA